rnacentral:rRNA from 1 species
UACGGAGGGUGCAAGCGUUAAUCGGAAUUAUUGGGCGUAAAGGGCGCGUAGGCGGCUUUGCAAGUGACGGGUGAAAUCCCUCGGCUUAACCGAGGAACUGCCUGUCAGACUGGAAGGCUUGAGACCGGGAGAGGUGAGUGGAAUUCCCAGUGUAGCGGUGAAAUGCGUAGAUAUUGGGAGGAACACCAGUGGCGAAGGCGGCUCACUGGACCGGUACUGACGCUGAGGUGCGAAAGCGUGGGGAGCAAACAGGG